GGGGAAUCUUAGACAAUGGGCGCAAGCCUGAUCUAGCCAUGCCGCGUGAGCGAUGAAGGCCUUAGGGUUGUAAAGCUCUUUCGUGGGGGAAGAUAAUGACUGUACCCCAAGAAGAAGCCCCGGCUAACUCCGUGCCAGCAGCCGCGGUAAUACGGAGGGGGCUAGCGUUGUUCGGAAUUACUGGGCGUAAAGCGCACGUAGGCGGACCGGAAAGUCAGAGGUGAAAUCCCAGGGCUCAACCUUGGAACUGCCUUUGAAACGACCGGUCUUGAGUUCGAGAGAGGUGAGUGGAAUUCCGAGUGUAGAGGUGAAAUUCGUAGAUAUUCGGAGGAACACCAGUGGCGAAGGCGGCUCACUGGCUGGAUACUGACGCUGAGGUGCGAAAGCGUGGGGAGCAAAC
rnacentral:rRNA from 1 species